UGCAGUCGAGCGGCAGCGGGAAGUAGCUUGCUACUUUGCCGGCGAGCGGCGGACGGGUGAGUAAUGUCUGGGAAACUGCCUGAUGGAGGGGGAUAACUACUGGAAACGGUAGCUAAUACCGCAUGACCUCGCAAGAGCAAAGUGGGGGACCUUCGGGCCUCACGCCAUCGGAUGUGCCCAGAUGGGAUUAGCUAGUAGGUGAGGUAAUGGCUCACCUAGGCGACGAUCCCUAGCUGGUCUGAGAGGAUGACCAGCCACACUGGAACUGAGACACGGUCCAGACUCCUACGGGAGGCAGCAGUGGGGAAUAUUGCACAAUGGGCGCAAGCCUGAUGCAGCCAUGCCGCGUGUGUGAAGAAGGCCUUAGGGUUGUAAAGCACUUUCAGCGAGGAGGAAGGGUUCAGUGUUAAUAGCACUGAGCAUUGACGUUACUCGCAGAAGAAGCACCGGCUAACUCCGUGCCAGCAGCCGCGGUAAUACGGAGGGUGCAAGCGUUAAUCGGAAUUACUGGGCGUAAAGCGCACGCAGGCGGUUUGUUAAGUCAGAUGUGAAAUCCCCGAGCUUAACUUGGGAACUGCAUUUGAAACUGGCAAGCUAGAGUCUUGUAGAGGGGGGUAGAAUUCCAGGUGUAGCGGUGAAAUGCGUAGAGAUCUGGAGGAAUACCGGUGGCGAAGGCGGCCCCCUGGACAAAGACUGACGCUCA
rnacentral:rRNA from 1 species